AAUGAGCGCCACCUGUUAGUUAAUUAGGACAGAACAUGCAGUGGACACACACACGGUCACAUUUCUCAGGAGGAACAUCUGAUAUACAGCCGAAGAAUUUGUGGAGACGCUGAGCCAAAGACUGUAUAUAGAGAUGGACAACGUGUCUUCACUGCCUUUAACCGUGGAAAAAUGAAGCCAGAAUAUCCCGGAUGCAGCUGCUGUCAUCUUGCACUGGCGAUGUCAUUUGGAGUCGAUCUCAGCGGGACAUUAUUCUGAGGUGCUGCUUGACAGGUGAAGAAGAAGAACACAUUUUUACACAGACUUCCAGGACCCAACAAGCCCCGCCCACUCCCACCAGGACAUGUCAAUCACCUGUCAGGAACUGCUGCAGGCCCAACAGAAGUUCCAUAAAAAUCUCUCCAGCGUCAUUUGUGGCGUGGCCCUCGGAUCAGGACCCCACAAGAUGUGCAGGAUAAACCUGAGGGGUCAGAGGAGCACAGCGAAACUUCGUUAAUUACUGGC